rnacentral:rRNA from 1 species
CUUGGUCAUUUAGAGGAAGUAAAAGUCAUAACAAGGUUUCCGUAGGUGAACCUGCGGAAGGAUCAUUAAUAGUGCCCUCUGAUGCAAAUCAUUGGGUUAGAUCUGCUCUCUUCGCAAGAAGAGGGUUUCCAUACACACCGUGAACUGUGGCUUCGGCCAUCACAAACUGUUAGUAAUGAAUGUAAUAUCAUAACAAAAACAAAACUUUUAACAACGGAUCUCUUGGCUCUCGCAUCGAUGAAGAACGCAGCGAAAUGCGAUAAGUAAUGUGAAUUGCAGAAUUCAGUGAAUCAUCGAAUCUUUGAACGCACCUUGCGCCCUCUGGUAUUCCGGAGGGCAUGCCUGUUUGAGUGUCAUGUAGACUCAAUCCCUCGGGUUUCCGAGGAGAUUGGACUUGGGUGUUGCCGCUCUGCCGGCUCGCCUUAAAAGACUUAGCGGGAUAGCACCGUAGUCGGCGUAAUAAGUUUCGUCGGUGAAGGUUGUGAUGACUGCUUACAAUCGCCCUCGGGCAAUUUUUGACUCUGACCUCAAAUCAGGUAGGACUACCCGCUGAACUUAAGCAUAUCAAUAAGCGGAGGA